rnacentral:lncRNA from 1 species
AUUAGAUACCAUCAUGACAAUCUAAUAUUGGUAGUUUCUAUUUUUAAAUAUAAAUAUUUGUUUGAAUCUAUUUCUCAAAAAACAAAAAAAAAAUGUUUGUUUUGUUCUUGGCAGGUAUGUGAGAAAUAAUAUGAUAAACCAACAAAUUCGUCGGGCGUAUCAUAUUUUAAGUAAUAUUUUUUGUUAAUAUAAAUGUUUGCUUGAAUCUAUUUCUAAAAAAAAAACAAAAAAAAAAAUUGUUUGAAUCUUGGCAGGUACGUGAGAAAUAUUAUGAAAACCCAACAAAAUCGUCGGGCGUAUCAUAUUUUAAGUAAUAAUAAUUUUGGUACUAUCUCAGUGCUCGAGAAUACUAAUACUGCAACAGAUGGCUAGUGCUGCUACUAAAGCUUGAUUGGCUUGAAACUCAGCAGGUGGUGGACACCAAUUUGAUGAAAAUGCAAUCCCAUAUUCCU